rnacentral:lncRNA from 1 species
GCACGCAGGGCCGCUGAGGGGCGUACGCGGGACUCGAGUGACGUGAGCACGCACGUAGGACCUACACAGACACAGGAAGCAUCAACUCUGAGGCUUUGGCCAGGAUGUGAGCCCGACUUUCGCAGCCCCAACUGGCAGGCUGACCUCAUGUGAACUCCCUGGCGAUGGCAUCCUGGAGACACCCACAUGGCUGAGCUGGCACCAUAGGCACUCAUAAUCCAGGUUCAGUUUCUGCCAGCACUAAUUUGGUUUAUUCCACAUGGCUGGAGCCACUGCGGGACUCCAUUUGUUCCGGGGCCACCUUCCUGUCACCUUUUACUGUUUCUUGAGUCAGCAAGAAAGGCAGAUCCGACUGAAGACUCCAGCACUCUCCUCAGCUGCAGCCCCCACAGAGCUCCGCGAAGUCCUUUCUCCCACAGGACAGAUCUGAGGCACCCACCAUUAGAAGAAAGGAGUGGAGAAAUGAUAUGCAGGAAGAAGGCCCAUUCUGAUUCACCAAUCGCAUGGACGCACUUUCCUACCAGGCUAGGAGGGAGGAAAGUAGAGCCCCACCCUGACUGCUAAGCCGUUUGCUUUGGUGUCAUGAAAAAAGAGUUCAGCUUCCCAAAUCAGAGAGGAAAAGGUUUUCAAGGGGUCCCCUAUUUCUAUUAUGUAAGCUUUAAAUGACAAAGUGGACCUCUGGGGCCAACGUGGGUGUGUGAUGGUGGUUUUGUGGGAUUCUCCCCAUAGCCCCAUCAGACGGCCUCACCUUCUGGGUCUCAGUGGCCCCAGGUGCAACACGGCUCCUCCAGAAAUGAUGACAGCCCUGGCGACCAAGGACUCCCUGUGCCACUGGGUUUGC